CAGUCGCCGCGGGAAUACGUAGGGUGCGAGCGUUAGUCGGAAUUACUGGGCGUAAAGCGUGCGCAGGCGGUUAUAUAAGACAGAUGUGAAAUCCCCGGGCUCAACCUGGGACCUGCAUUUGUGACUGUAUAGCUAGAGUACGGUAGAGGGGGGUGGAAUUCCGCGUGUAGCAGUGAAAUGCGUAGAUAUGCGGAGGAACACCGAUGGCGAAGGCAGCCCCCUGGGCCAACACUGACGCUCAUGCACGAAAGCGUGGGGAGCAAACAGGAUUAGAUACCCGCGUAGUCCCUGUCUCUUAUAC
rnacentral:rRNA from 1 species